rnacentral:lncRNA from 1 species
UACAUUUGAAAUACUUGUUUUAAUGGUAUUUUAUAAUAAAGCAGCUAUUAAUAACUUUCCUUUUUUUCUUUAUUCCAGCCGUCCUUGUGGCAUAUCUACAUUGGUUACAUUUAGUAAAACUUUGUGAAAAUUAUCGUCAUUUCUCUCACCUCUCAUCUUUGGAACGGGAGAUGACUUUUUGCACCGAAAUGGCUAGGUUUCUUCUUCUAACGAAUUAAUUUGUGGUUUAAGAAUAGCGAGACUAUGAGGUAGAGAUGUAUUAGGAAUUGAAAUGAACUUUUGGUGAACUGCACUGUUUCAUAAGCUAUAACCCAGGUUUAUUAUUUAAAUAGUAAAGUGUUUGAGAUUAUUUUUCUGUUACUUCAUUAUCUCUCACCCUUUCCUAAUGCAGACUUCUUUUUAAGAUAAUAAAGAUGAAUUAUAAUAGCUGAGAAAGGAGAAGAAUGCAAGCUCUGAAAUGACAUCCUUAAAUGCUGAUACUGGUUACAACCUCUUUACCUCUCUGAGGAAAUUGUAACAGUGUGUCUUUUAGGGUGUUUUUAUUUUACCAGCCCUUAAGAAAGAUCUCUAAUACCUUUUAAUACUUUUUUUUAUAAUUUCAAGUUGAAGUGUUUUUAAAAACACCUUGUUCUGUAAUGUUUUGAAUUUCUUGAGAUGUAUUUACCCCACUAGAUACAUAUUUGCCACUGGUUAGUUCUCCAUCUAAGCUCAAGAGGUUAUUCAUCUCUCUUUAGAUUCCAGUGGUUUUUCUUUUAACAUCCAGGUAAAAUAGAAACUGCUAUGGUAUACAACCAAAUUUUGGGGUUAAACAUAAUCAGAAAAGAAAAUCCACUUAAAUUUAUGAAGUGAGAUUUUCAGAUCCUAGAUCUUGAAUAUAGCAAAGGUCUUUUCAUCUUGAUGGCCCCAAAGCUUGUUGGUCAUAGUCUUUAUUUCUGGCCACUAUCUUCUUAAAUAAUAUAUUUUUAAGCCCUCAUUUAUUUUUGGUUUUGGAUGAGGAAAGUCAUGUUUUCUAAGUCCUCUCCCCUAAUAAAACCUACCCAACAAUAGUGCUUUGAAAAGUGGUAGUUAUCUUGAAGAUACUCUUGCCAAAUGCAAAGAUAAACAUUCUUUUUGUCUGCUUUAUAAAUAUGAAAUAUGCCAGAUCUAUAGUAUUUUAAUGUGCAUCUACUUUAAAUGAGUCAUCUUGGGGUUUUUAUAAUUCCCUUAUAAUCUUGCCCCUCUACACUUGAAAUAACAAAAUGCCUUAAUUUUAUAGAUUAGUUCUCUUAUAGUAGACAGGCAGCU